rnacentral:rRNA from 1 species
AGAGUUUGAUCCUGGCUCAGGAUAAACGCUAGCGGCAGGCCUAACACAUGCAAGUCGAGGGGCAGCAGGGAAGUAGCUUGCUACUUCUGCUGGCGACCGGCGCACGGGUGCGUAACGCGUAUGCAACCUACCUUUAACAGGGGGAUAAUCCGAAGAAAUUUGGUCUAAUACCCCAUAAUAUUGAUUAAGGCAUCUUGAUCAGUUGAAAGUUCCGACGGUUAAAGAUGGGCAUGCGUUGUAUUAGCUAGUUGGUGAGGUAACGGCUCACCAAGGCGACGAUACAUAGGGGGACUGAGAGGUUUUCCCCCCACACUGGUACUGAGACACGGACCAGACUCCUACGGGAGGCAGCAGUGAGGAAUAUUGGUCAAUGGACGCAAGUCUGAACCAGCCAUGCCGCGUGCAGGAUGAAUGUGCUAUGCAUUGUAAACUGCUUUUGUACGAGGGUAAAAACAGGUACGUGUACCUGGUUGAAAGUAUCGUACGAAUAAGGGUCGGCUAACUCCGUGCCAGCAGCCGCGGUAAUACGGAGGACCCGAGCGUUAUCCGGAUUUAUUGGGUUUAAAGGGUGCGUAGGCGGAUUGGUAAGUUAGAGGUGAAAGCUCAGCGCUUAACGUUGAAACUGCCUCUGAUACUGUCGGUCUAGAGUAUAGUUGCGGAAGGCGGAAUGUGUGGUGUAGCGGUGAAAUGCUUAGAUAUCACACAGAACACCGAUUGCGAAGGCAGCUUUCCAAGCUAUCACUGACGCUGAGGCACGAAAGCGUGGGGAGCGAACAGGAUUAGAUACCCUGGUAGUCCACGCCGUAAACGAUGAUAACUCGUUGCAGGCGAUACACAGUCUGUGACUUAGCGAAAGCGUUAAGUUAUCCACCUGGGGAGUACGUUCGCAAGAAUGAAACUCAAAGGAAUUGACGGGGGCCCGCACAA